GCAAGUCGAGGGGUAACAUAGAAGAGCUUGCUUUUCUGAUGACGACCGGCGCACGGGUGCGUAACGCGUAUGCAACCUACCUCUUACUGAGGGAUAGCCCAUAGAAAUGUGGAUUAAUACCUCAUAGUACUGUUCUUUCGCAUGUUAGAACAAUUAAAGGUCACGGUAAGAGAUGGGCAUGCGUCCCAUUAGCUAGAUGGUAAGGUAACGGCUUACCAUGGCAACGAUGGGUAGGGGCCCUGAGAGGGGGAUC
rnacentral:rRNA from 1 species